CCUAUAGAGAGAUAAUACUGUGGGCACACUUGGAAGUCUGAGGAUUGCUGGGGUUUUGGUGCCAUGAAGGACUCUUAACUUUUAUUAUUUAUUAUCUUGUUGAUUAAGAUUUUUACAGCACAAUCUCCACAAGCUAGUAUAGCAAACAUAAAAUUGCCAUCAGUAGGUAGGAGGACAAUGUCAUAUAAAGUUUCACCAGCUAAAUAGGAAUCAGCAUCUUUGCAAUCGUGGUAUCUAUGGUAAAGAUCUCUUGCACAUGCUGCUAAAUUUGGACCCAGCACAUAUCUGUGGAAAAAUCUCCAUUAAUCUAGUUGGAAUUGAUAAAUAUUAAUUUAAAAUUAAUUUUUAUUUUGAAUUUUCACUUUUUUUUAUCUAAUCUACUCACAGUGCUGAAAUAGGAUCUAUAAGGUUUGUAUCAAAUUCCAAGAACAAUUUUCCUUUCUUGGUGUACCCCUUCACUGUGUUUCCUUGUGCAAUGUAAAUUUUAUCAUGUCCAGUACCCCCAAGAACUAAUUUGUUAAUCCUUGGUCCUGGUAAGGACUUAAAUGAAACUUGUAGCUCUCCUUUCUUUAUACCUUAUUAAAAUAUCAAGUGUCUUUACAUAUUUAUUUAAAGAAAUGAAGAAAUGAUAAAUCUUCCUGCAAAUUUUAUUUGGAAGAUUUAGUUUAAGUUUUAAAAGGUAAAGAAUAAAAUUCACCAUAGACAUGAAGUACGCCAUCAUGGUCAGCAACAGCAAAUUUUUGAGUUUGCCUGUGUUCUGUGGCAGGGAAGACCUUGGUGGUUCCCUUAGAUGUGACACCUACGGCUGCAUAGUCUGUCCUUGACAGUGGUAGAGUCAUUCUGGACUAAAAUGUAAUUUUCUGUUAUAUCUUGUGAAAUAUUAAUAUGAAAUAGACAUUUUUCGAAGUCUA